AUUGCUCAGUAACGGCGAGUGAAGCGGCAACAGCUCAAAUUUGAAAUCUGGCCCUAGGCCCGAGUUGUAAUUUGCAGAGGAUGUUUCUGGCGAGGUGCCUUCCGAGUUCCCUGGAACGGGACGCCAUAGAGGGUGAGAGCCCCGUACGGUUGGUCGCUAAGCCUCUGUGAAACUCCUUCGACGAGUCGAGUAGUUUGGGAAUGCUGCUCUAAAUGGGAGGUAUACGUCUUCUAAAGCUAAAUACCGGCCAGAGACCGAUAGCGCACAAGUAGAGUGAUCGAAAGAUGAAAAGCACUUUGAAAAGAGGGUUAAAUAGUACGUGAAAUUGUUGAAAGGGAAGCGCUUAUGACCAGACUUGGACCGGUUGAUCAUCCAUCGUUCUCGGUGGUGCACUCUGCCGGUUCAGGCCAGCAUCAGUUCGUCCCGGGGGAUAAAGGCUUUGGGAAUGUGGCUCUUCGGAGUGUUAUAGCCCACUGCGUAAUACCCUGGGAUGGACUGAGGUUCGCGCUCCGCAAGGAUGCUGGCGUAAUGGUCAUCAGUGACCCGUCUUGAAACACGGACCAAGGAGUCGUCUUCGUAUGCGAGUGUUCGGGUGUCAAACCCCUACGCGUAAUGAAAGUGAACGUAGGAGAGAGCUUCGGCGCAUCUCCGACCGAUCCUGAUGUUCUCGGAUGGAUUUGAGUAAGAGCAUACGGGGCCGGACCCGAAAGAAGGUGAACUAUGCUUGUAUAGGGUGAAGCCAGAGGAAACUCUGGUGGAGGCUCGCAGCGGUUCUGACGUGCAAAUCGAUCGUCAAAUAUGAGCAUGGGGGCGAAAGACUAAUCGAACC
rnacentral:rRNA from 1 species